ACCCUGCCUAGUGAGAGACAGGGAGAGGGAAGGCCCCGGAGCUCUAGAAAUUUAGAUCAUUGAAACGUAGAAAUUCCCAGGCCACCUCCCGGAAAGGCCGCCGCAUUCCCCGGUCUUCCAAGCAACUCUUAUUUCACCAGGGGCCUUUAGGGUCAGCCAUUUGUCCUCUGGGGACUAGUUUUCUGGCCGUUGCUGCUGCUGUUACCAUUAAUCUAAACAGCCUCCUGUCACUGUGUGCAUGGGGUGCCGUCAGAAGCAGCACAAAGUCCUCUGCCCUUUCUUAGCCCUUCCCGCUGGAGUCUGUGCCACGAGGAGGAGGAGGACUCUCGGUUCCGGCUCUCCGUGGGGAGUGGGAAGAGAUCCUCUUUUCCGGAAAGAACGGCGAGACACGGAGCUGCAGUAAAGAAUGUAAAGAUGAUCCAAGAGAAAUGCUGACCUCAGUUGGAAAUCUGUAAAGUGCUCCAAGGAGAAACUAAGAAUUUUGGGAAGAUACCUGACUCUAUCUGAGCUAUGCGCCUAGCAACUCUUUCUGCCAGAGCCAAAUUCUUACAAAGGCAACAGAGCCCACAGACCAGGAGCUGGGAAGCAGUGGAGAUGCCUAGAAGAAAUAUAAGUGUCUUAAAAAUACUUUUUUCAUUCAGUUGUAUUAAUGUUUCAAUGUGCUAUAAGUUCUCAUGGGUCCUAAAAACAGCAACCCACCA